rnacentral:lncRNA from 1 species
CUUAUUCAAUAUGCACAACUAAUGGCUUAUUACCUAAUUUAAUCCAAGCACCAUGCAAUUACACAAAAUAAACAACGAAAAAUGAAAAAUAUUUUUGGUAUUUUUGAAAAAGAAAUUGAAAAUGGCAUAAAAAUUAAAAUAAACACACAAAAAUUCAUAAAAACAAGAAAAACAAAACAAAUAAAACUAUGUACAUAUAAAAAUUAAAAUAAACACACAAAAAUUCAUAAAAACAAGAAAAACAAAACAAAUAAAACUAUGUACAUCCCCCC